rnacentral:tRNA from 1 species
GGGCCCGUAGCUUAGCUCGGUUGGAGCGCCCGGCUGAUAACCGGGAGGUCAUGAGUCCAAAUCUCAUCGGGCCCA